rnacentral:rRNA from 1 species
GUGGGGAAUCUUCCACAAUGGACGAAAGUCUGAUGGAGCAACGCCGCGUGAGUGAAGAAGGGUUUCGGCUCGUAAAGCUCUGUUGUCGGGGACGAAUGUGCAGUAUUUGAAUAAAGUAUUGCAAUGACGGUACCUGACGAGGAAGCCACGGCUAACUACGUGCCAGCAGCCGCGGUAAUACGUAGGUGGCAAGCGUUGUCCGGAAUUAUUGGGCGUAAAGGGAGCGCAGGCGGGAAGGUAAGUCGGUCUUAAAAGUGCGGGGCUCAACCCCGUGAUGGGAUCGAAACUAUCUUUCUUGAGUGCAGGAGAGGAAAGUGGAAUUCCUAGUGUAGCGGUGAAAUGCGUAGAUAUUAGGAGGAACACCAGUGGCGAAGGCGACUUUCUGGACUGUAACUGACGCUGAGGCUCGAAAGCCAGGGGAGCGAACGGGAUUAGAAACCCGGGUAGUCC